AACGAACGCUGGCGGCAGGCCUAACACAUGCAAGUCGAGCGGACCUUUCGGGGUCAUCCGCGGACGGGUGAGUAACGCGUGGGAAUAUGCCCUUCUCUACGGAAUAGUCCUGGGAAACUGGGGGUAAUACCGUAUACGCCCUUUGGGGGAAAGAUUUAUCGGGGAAGGAUUAGCCCGCGUUGGAUUAGGUAGUUGGUGGGGUAAUGGCCUACCAAGCCGACGAUCCAUAGCUGGUUUGAGAGGAUGAUCAGCCACACUGGGACUGAGACACGGCCCAGACUCCUACGGGAGGAAGCAGUGGGGAAUCUUAGACAAUGGGGGCAACCCUGAUCUAGCCAUGCCGAGUGAGUGAUGAAGGCCUUAGGGUUGUAAAGCUCUUUCAGCUGGGAAGAUAAUGACGGUACCAGCAGAAGAAGCCCCGGCUAACUCCGUG
rnacentral:rRNA from 1 species